GACGUAGGGCGCGAGCGUUGUCCGGAUUUAUUGGGCGUAAAGAGCUCGUAGGCGGCUUGUCGCGUCGUCCGUGAAAACCUGCGGCUCAACUGCAGGCUGGCGGUCGAUACGGGCAGGCUGGAGUUCGGUAGGGGAGACUGGAAUUCCUGGUGUAGCGGUGAAAUGCGCAGAUAUCAAGAGGAACACCUGAGGUGAAGACGGGUUGCUGGGCUGAUACUGACGCUGAGGCGCGAAAGCUAGGGUAGCAAACGGG
rnacentral:rRNA from 1 species